AGUGAACGCUGGCGGCAGGCCUAACACAUGCAAGUCGAGCGGCAGCGCGGGGGCAACCCUGGCGGCGAGCGGCGGACGGGUGAGGAAUUCGUCGGAAUCUGCCUUUUUGUGGGGGAUAACGUAGGGAAACUUACGCUAAUACCGCAUACGUCCUACGGGAGAAAGUGGGGGACGGCAGGGCCUCACGCAGAAAGAUGAGCCGACGCCCGAUUAGCUAGUUGGUGGGGUAAGGGCCCACCAAGGCGACGAUCGGUAGCUGGUCUGAGAGGAUGAUCAGCCACACUGGGACGGAGACACGGCCCAGACUCCUGCGGGAGGCCGCAGUGGGGAAUAUUGGACAAUGGGCGCAAGCCUGAUCCAGCCAUGCCGCGUGUGUGAAGAAGGCCUUCGGGUUGUAAAGCACUUUUGUCCGGAAAGAAAUCCCUGGAGCUAAUACCUUCGGGGGAUGACGGUACCGGAAGAAUAAGCACCGGCUAACUUCGUG
rnacentral:rRNA from 1 species